GAUGAAACGCUAGCGACAGGCUUAACACAUGCAAGUCGAGGGGCAGCAUGAUUUGUAGCAAUACAGAUUGAUGGCGACCGGCGCACGGGUGAGUAACGCGUAUGCAACUUACCUAUCAGAGGGGAUAACCCGGCGAAAGUCGGACUAAUACCGCAUGAAGCAGGGGCCCCGCAUGGGGAUAUUUGCUAAAGAUUCAUCGCUGAUAGAUAGGCAUGCGUUCCAUUAGGCAGUUGGCGGGGUAACGGCCCACCAAACCGACGAUGGAUAGGGGUUCUGAGAGGAAGGUCCCCCACAUUGGUACUGAGACACGGACCAAACUCCUACGGGAGGCAGCAGUGAGGAAUAUUGGUCAAUGGGCGUAAAGCCUGAACCAGCCAAGUCGCGUG
rnacentral:rRNA from 1 species